rnacentral:rRNA from 1 species
GAUGAACGCUAGCUACAGGCUUAACACAUGCAAGUCGAGGGGCAGCAUGGUCUUAGCUUGCUAAGACUGAUGGCGACCGGCGCACGGGUGAGUAACACGUAUCCAACCUGCCUUAUACUCCCGGACAGCCUUCUGAAAGGAAGAUUAAUACGGGAUGGCAUCACGAGCCAGCAUUUUCUCGUGAUUAAAGAAUUUCGGUAUAAGAUGGGGAUGCGUUCCAUUAGAUAGUAGGCGGGGUAACGGCCCACCUAGUCGACGAUGGAUAGGGGUUCUGAGAGGAAGGUCCCCCACAUUGGAACUGAGACACGGUCCAAACUCCUACGGGAGGCAGCAGUGAGGAAUAUUGGUCAAUGGGCGCGAGCCUGAACCAGCCAAGUAGCGUGAAGGAUGACUGCCCUACGGGUUGUAAACUUCUUUUAUAAAGGAAUAAAGUGAGGCACGUGUGCCUUUUUGUAUGUACUUUAUGAAUAAGGAUCGGCUAACUCCGUGCCAGCAGCCGCGGUAAUACGGAGGAUCCGAGCGUUAUCCGGAUUUAUUGGGUUUAAAGGGAGCGUAGAUGGGUUGUUAAGUCAGUUGUGAAAGUUUGCGGCUCAACCGUAAAAUUGCAAUUGAUACUGGCAGCCUUGAGUACAGUUGAGGUAGGCGGAAUUCGUGGUGUAGCGGUGAAAUGCUUAGAUAUCACGAAGAACUCCGAUUGCGAAGGCAGCCUACUAAACUGCCACUGACAUUGAUGCUCGAAAGUGUGGGUAUCAAACAGG